rnacentral:rRNA from 1 species
UACGUAGGUGGCAAGCGUUGUCCGGAUUUAUUGGGUUUAAAGGGUGCGUAGGCGGUCUUUUAAGUCAGUGCUGAAAUAUCCCGGCUUAACCGGGAGGGUGGCAUUGAUACUGAAGGACUUGAGUAAAGUUGAGGUAGGCGGAAUUGACGGUGUAGCGGUGAAAUGCUUAGAUAUCGUCAAGAACACCGAUAGUGUAGACAGCUUACUAGGCUUUAACUGACGCUGAGGCACGAAAGUGUGGGGAGCAAACAGG